rnacentral:rRNA from 1 species
AGUGAACGCUGGCGGUAGGCCUAACACAUGCAAGUCGAACGGCAGCACAGUAAGAGCUUGCUCUUACGGGUGGCGAGUGGCGGACGGGUGAGGAAUACAUCGGAAUCUACUUUUUCGUGGGGGAUAACGUGGGGAAACUUACGCUACUACCGCAUACGUCCUACGGGUGAAAGCAGGGGAUCUUCGGACCUUGCGCGAUUGAUUGAGCCGAUGUCGGAUUAGCUAGUUGGUGGGGUAAAGGCCCACCAAGGCGACGAUCCGUAGCUGGUCUGAGAGGAUGAUCAGCCACACUGGAACUGAGACACGGUCCAGACUCCUACGGGAGGCAGCAGUGGGGAAUAUUGGACAAUGGGCGCAAGCCUGAUCCAGCCAUACCGCGUGGGUGAAGAAGGCCUUCGGGUUGUAAAGCCCUUUUGUUGGGAAAGAAAAGCAGCAGGUUAAUACCCCGCUGUUCUGACGGUACCCAAAGAAUAAGCACCGGCUAACUUCGUG